GACGAACGCUGGCGGCGUGCCUAAUACAUGCAAGUCGAGCGAAUGGAUGGGAGCUUGCUCCCUGAAGUUGCGGCGGACGGGUGAGUAACACGUGGGCAACCUGGCCUAUAAGACUGGGAUAACUUCGGGAAACCGGAGCUAAUACCGGAUACGUUCUUUUCUCGCAUGAGAGAAGAUGGAAAGACGGUUUACGCUGUCACUUAUAGAUGGGCCCGCGGCGCAUUAGCUAGUUGGUGAGGUAAUGGCUCACCAAGGCGACGAUGCGUAGCCGACCUGAGAGGGUGAUCGGCCACACUGGGACUGACACGGCCCAGACUCCUACGGGAGGCAGCAGUAGGGAAUCUUCCGCAAUGGACGAAAGUCUGACGGAGCAACGCCGCGUGAACGAAGAAGGCCUUCGGGUCGUAAAGUUCUGUUGUUAGGGAAGAACAAGUACCAGAGUAACUGCUGGUACCUUGACGGUACCUAACCAGAAAGCCACGGCUAACUACGUGCCAGCAGCCGCGGUAAUGUGAAAGCCCACGGCUCAACCGUGGAGGGUCAUUGGAAACUGGGGAACUUGAGUGCAGAAGAGGAAAGUGGAAUUCCAAGUGUAGCGGUGAAAUGCGUAGAGAUUUGGAGGAACACCAGUGGCGAAGGCGACUUUCUGCGUAAACGAUGAGUGCUAAGUGUUAGAGGGUUUCCGCCCUUUAGUGCUGCAGCUAACGCAUUAAGCACUCCGCCUGGGGAGUACGGCCGCAAGGCUGAAACUCAAAGGAAUUGACGGGGGCCCGCACAAGCGGUGGAGCAUGUGGUUUAAUUCGAAGCAACGCGAAGAACCUUACCAGGUCUUGACAUCCUCUGACAACCCUAGAGAUAGGGCGUUCCCCUUCGGGGGACAGAGUGACAGGUGGUGCAUGGUUGUCGUCAGCUCGUGUCGUGAGAUGUUGGGUUAAGUCCCGCAACGAGCGCAACCCUUGAUCUUAGUUGCCAGCAUUCAGUUGGGCACUCUAGUGACUGCCGGUGACAAACCGGAGGAAGGUGGGGAUGACGUCAAAUCAUCAUGCCCCUUAUGACCUGGGCUACACACGUGCUACAAUGGAUGGUACAAAGGGCUGCAAACCUGCGAAGGUAAGCGAAUCCCAUAAAGCCAUUCUCAGUUCGGAUUGCAGGCUGCAACUCGCCUGCAUGAAGCCGGAAUCGCUAGUAAUCGCGGAUCGCAUGCCGCGGUGAAUACGUUCCCGGGCCUUGUACACACCGCCCGUCACACCACGAGAGUUUGUAACACCCGAAGUCGGUGAGGUAACCUUUAUGGAGCCAGCCGCCUAAGGUGGGACAGAUGAUUGGGGUGAAGUCGUAACAAGGUAGCCGUAUCGGAAGG
rnacentral:rRNA from 1 species